rnacentral:lncRNA from 1 species
UAUGAUUUCAUAUGUUUUUCUUUGGAUUUUGAGAAAUUUAAAUUGGUUUUAAAGCUCCUAAAAUGACCCAUGUAUGUGAUUUUGUGUUUGUGAUGCAUGAAGCAUUCGAUCAUGAGCUCAAUGGGUUACAUUGUGUAUGUUUUGCUAAUUUGUGAGGAGAAAUGUUUCUAAUUGAGUAUAAACAAACUAAAUUACUAUAUGUGGCUCAAAUGAGCUUGAGUAGUCGGCUAAUGAAGUUAGUUGAGUUAUAAUACUUGCUUAAUAAUGAAAAGAACAUGAGCUUAAUGCUCAAAUAGCAUUCGGCUUUGGACUAAGUUAAAUUAGUUAGGAAAUGAGUUCCAAAAUAGUGAAUUAUGUGUUAAAAGAGGGAUUUAGGUUGUAUAUACUUGUUUAGAUUGAAAACAAGAGGCUAUGUUAGCUAAUUGAGGGAUUCGGCCAUAGUAUUAUAGUGAAUAAUAAUUUGAACAAGGGUUUUAAUUGUAUGAUAGGUUUUCGGAUAUGGUUGAUUGGAUAAUAAAUUGGUGUGGGUGUUUUGAAUGAGAUAUGUACAAUUAUAAGUUAAAUUUAAGGUUUGUUAAAUUUGUCCUUAUCAUUGCCGAAUGAGUUCAAUGGCUAAAGAAAAUUGUUAAGUGCUUAGUUAAUGUGCAUUCGGUCAUUUAGGAUGAGUAUACAUUUGAUAAUGUUUUGAUACUUUGAAAUGGAAUUUAAUUAUUAAUGAGUUAUAAGCUUGUUGAAUUUUGAGAU